GUUUGCGUUAGCUAGCACUGCCAGUCAAAGUAACUUUUAUAACAGAUAUAUCUUAUAGUUUGCCAAUUCUAUUUGUUGGACUUCUCUCAAAAUUAACAAGCUAACCAUACGGAAAUAUGUAUUUUAAAUAUAUUGUUUCUAUACAUUUGAUAAAUGUAUGUCAAAGUGUUGCAAUUGGAAUCUUCAAAUAUAUUUCGAAAAAACGUACUUUAAAUGCAUUGCUGUAUUACGAACAUGCAACUUUCCGCUCUCCUAUCUGGCGCUCUAUACACAGCUCCAAAGAAGGAUAAGCUAGUAGUGGUCUAACCAAGGUCGCUGCAGUACAACCCACCAUGAACACAUCCCUGUCUUCAUAUCCAGGACCUGACAGAACCAGAUUCCCAGAUGUACCACCACCAUGCCUUUGACAGCUGUACCAUGCCCCCUCUUCCCAGCAAGGACAAAUGGAGAAAACACAGACAACUGCAUUACCUCAAGGCCUGUAAUGCUUUGGUUGAUGAAGUGGAGACAUAAUCCACUGGCCCCUUAAACAGCCUGGCAGAGGAGAGCUGCAGCUCUAGACAAGCCAGCAGAAUAGAACCCUGGAAACAUGGGAGAGGGCCUCAAACACACUCAGUACUGGAGAUGAAUGGCAGACAAGCUCCAGAUGACCCAUGUUAUGCUGUGGGAGUCUCAUCCCAUGCCCUCCUUCGCUGCCAGAACACACCUUAAACACCUCCUGGGACAUGCCGCUUCCCACAAAUUAACCUGAUUCGGGACAGGUGGAGCUGACUGGAUCGCAAAGGUGACAAGUUGCACCUGGGUUUGGGACCAACUAGAAGAUGAAUGUUCCUGGUGCCCAUUCCUGGCUCUCCCCCCCCCACAAGGACCAUGUGGUUUUGUGAAUUGGUUGAUUUGUGUUGUGAUUAGGUGCACCCAUCAACACUUACACAUUUUACACUCACCCAGGCAUCUCCACUCAUAUGCCUACUUUCACACUUCACAGGUCAGUUUUUCUUCGUAGUCCCCUAGUUUGUGUUACAUUUCCUAGUUCUCUGUUGUUUUUGUUUGUACGUGUGGGUGUUCUGGUCCGUGUCUCCUCUUCACAGGUGGCAUACACCGCGGGCAUACAUCACCCGUAGGGUUCUGAAUGUCUAUAGACUAGGUAAGAUCUGGGCGGACCACUCCCUGUAUUUUGGUUAGCGUGUCAGUUGGCGCUUCGUUAGGUAAGUAGCACGUAGGUAGGUAAGAUAGGUAGGUUACUUUAGCUGUAACCUUCUUUGCUUUGGUUCUGUCCAGCCCCUUUCCCCAUUUUGCUGUGUGUUGUGGGGAAUUUAUAAACCCCUGUGAGCGGUACCUGGGUUGUCUGUCGUCCUUAAACCUACCUACGACCCCAUACCCUUUUCCACUCCACGGGACAUGAAUGUGUAGCGGGGUGUUGCGUUUACUUCCCCGGGAGGCGUUUGUAACAAUUUGUUACUCAUUUAAUGCCAACAAGAGGACUCCCUUGCUUGUCACCUGCUAAGAGCCGGGUUGUUGUAAUAUAACCAACAUGCAUCCAAUACAUUUUCCUUUAAAUGAUGUAAUCACUGAUUAGAAUUGGAUUUAGAGUUUGUGUAGAUAAUAUACAUUAGAUCAACAUAUGCAGAUGUAAUGGUUAUCUAGGUACCAGUUUGACUAGUUAAGCAGCAUGUUUCUGUAAUGGUCAACGGUUAUAUUUUACCCCACUCAGAUGCAGGCAACCCCCUGAGAAGUAUAAGUGAAGUCCCAAAGCAUUGGCAGGCUCACUGCUGGUUUAAUUGUUUAUGCUUGUUUACAGGACGAAGUCAAUCAUUGAAUCAAACCAACAUUGUUAUGUAACUCCAUGAUUUCCAUUUCAACAGUUCCCCAGGUUUCACAUGCCCAAUCAAUACUGCUGAAACUAACUGUAAUUGAUUAUUUUUAAGUAAGUGUUAGAAACUGGUGACUGACUGACCAUUCAUUAUUAUUCAGCCCUUAGUCCUUUAUUGAAGACUGGAGAUAGGACGGUAAGUCUGAGUCUUAGGUGUGAUUCAGAAAUCUAAUGCCGUCAUACACAUUUGUGAUUUUAUGUCUUAGUCCCAGUGCUCAUCAUACCUCUAUCAAAAUCAUGUACAACAUCAGUUAUAACUCAUGAAGCGACCAUAGUCAACACACCCACAACAAUGGUUCUGUCGUGUUACAUACCAGUAUUAUAUAGGUACAAUGCUGUGAAAUAUUUUUUUCUAGACAUUAUUAAUUCAUGUUUUUGUCAAUUAAUAUGUUUCAUCAACAACUUUUCUUUUAAUAAAG
ensembl:lncRNA